rnacentral:ncRNA from 1 species
GGAGUGGUUUGGCACCUCGAUGUCGGCUCAUCGCAUCCUGGGGCUGAAGUAGGUCCCAAGGGUUGGGCUGUUCGCCCAUUAAAGCGGUACGCGAGCUGGGUUCAGAACGUCGUGAGACAGUUCGGUCCCUAUCCGGCGUGGGCGUAGGAUAUUUGAGAGGAGCUGUCCUUAGUACGAGAGGACCGGGAUGGACUGACCUCUGGUGUAUCUGUUAGACUAUCAAGUCUAUGGCAGAGUAGCCAAGUCGGGAAGGGAUAAACGCUGAAGGCAUCUAAGCGUGAAGCCCCCCUCAAGAUGAGAUAUCCCAUACGCAAGUAGUAAGACCCCUUGAAGACGACGAGGUAGAUAGGGCAGAGGUGGAAGCAUGGCAACAUGUGGAGCUGACUGUUACUAAUAGGUCGAGGGCUUAACCAA